rnacentral:lncRNA from 1 species
AGGAGGGGAGGGUGGGCAGUCACGGAGCUGGGGAGAAACCAGAGCACAGGCAUGCCCCCUGCUGGCCCGAGGGGAGGAAGGGUAUCAGCCUGCUUUCUGCUGCUGUAACCACAGACUGGGUAAGAAGGGAACAGACAUUUAUUUGGCUUGCGGUUCUGGAUGCUGGGAAUCCAAGAGCAUGGCAGGGGCCUCUGGAGAGGAUCUCAUCAGGUGACAGAGGGUGGAAGCAAGUACAUGACCAAAGAAGGACUCCCACAGUAACUAACCCACUCCCACAGUAACUAACCCACUCCCCUCAAUCCAUCUGUUAUGGGCCAGGCUGUAUGGGCAAUGACACAAACAGACUCCAUUUUACCCCAAGACUCCAUAUUAUGUAAGAAAUGCUUCUCCCAUGGGAGAGCCCCACCUCACCUCUGUACUCAUUAAUAAUUACCCAGCACAGCAUACUUGGCAACACAAAACAGCAAUUCUUACACAAUGUAAAAUUGUUCUCUUUGGUUUCCAUUUUUCUUGGGCAAUGUACCUUGUCAAAGAUGGAUUGUCUAGAUGUUAGUAAUCAUUCUCUAACUUGUACUGAGCUAGGGUCAUUUUGACCCACUUCCCUUCUGCUUGCUUGCUGCUAUGCCAACCUGGAGAGUCCUGUGGGAAAUACCAAUGUACCCAUUGCAUUGUCUUGCUAACUGCCCAAUUCAGCUUCUGUACCAGCUUGCUUGCAGCUACAUCAACCCAGAUGUGGUUUUGCAUUUAAAUAUCUAAAAUACUCAGGCUCGGGGCUGUUCCUUGCAGAGACAGUUAUGGGUCCUGUAGACAGCAGUUGCAGGCCAGCCGGCUAAAGAUUCUUCAAUUUGGACAAAACUGGGACUUGGUAUGUUUUCUGAGUGGCCUGCCCCACACAACACAUCCAUGAAAUGGAGUCUCACAACCCACUCACCUCCUGAAGGUCUCGCCUCGCUGUCUCAAUGACAAUUAAAUUUCAAUGUGAGUUUGGGAUGAGACAUUCCAACCAUCACAUUUCAUCUCUGGGCCCCCCAAAUUCAUGUCCUUCUCACAUAAAACAUGCUCAUUGUCUCCCAAUAGUCCCCAAAGUCUUGUUUCAGCAUCAACCCACAAAUCAGUGGUCUAAUGUGAAUCAGAAACUGGUGAGAUUCAUCCUGAAUCCAGCUGGGAAAAGGGGAGACCAAGAAGUCACCCACUUCCACAUACAGGGCAGGGGAGAGGGAGGACUGACAUCCUGUCCAAAAGGGAGAAAUAGACAAAGAAGAGGCAGAUGAUCCCAAGUAAGUCCAAACCUCACAGGGAAAGCAUCACCUCUCGAAGCAGGAGAGUGGUCCCCAGGGUGGGGUGGGUCCCUAAGGCCUCAGGUCACCAUCCUCCCGCUCAGCCCACACUCCAGGUCUCUUAGGUUGAGUCUCAUGCCCGCAGCUCUCCCAGGCUGGGUCUGCAUGCUGGUGACUACAGUUCUAUGGUGUUGAGGUGGCCCUAUAUCCAUGGCCCCAUAGGUACUGCCUAGUAGGGGUUCCUUGUAGUGGCUCCACUUUGGGACUGCAGGUGGAGGGGGGUGCGUGCCAAAGAGCUUGCCUUCUAUACUUGCAGACUUGACACCGCGUGGAAGCCACCCAGGGCUUACGGCUUGUACCUUCUAGGACAUCGCUGUGAGACGUUUUAAAUGACCUAAAUAAAUGGAGACUAUCAAGUUGGUGGAUUGAAAAAUUCAAUAUUGUCAAAACGUCGGUUCUCCCCAAAUUGAUCUAUAGAUUCAAUGCAAUCUCAACAACCCAGCAAGAUUUCCACAAAUAUUAACAAAUGGACUCUUUAUUUUUUGAAAUUAUAUGGAAAUGAAAAAUAUGAGAAUAACCAAGAUAAUUUUUAAAAAAUUUUGGGAACUGCAUUACCUAAUUUUAAGCUUUAUUAUAAAGCAACAAGAAAUGGAUGGUAUUGCUGCAGAAUAGAUAUAAAGGCCAAUAGAACAGAGAAUCCAGAUGCAGGCCAGAGAUAUAUUGUCAAUUGACUUUCAACAAGGAUAAAAAGAUAAUUCAGUGUAGGAAAGAUAGUCUCUCAACAAAUGGUUGAAUAACUGGUUAUCCAUAAAAAUAAAAAAGGAGACAUAAUCCAGUCCUUGUUUGAUUCCACGCAUCCGGGAGGCCGCCUGCCCUGCAGCUCAGCUGGCUGCCUCUCCUUCUUGCUUUAUUUGUGCUGUUGGUUCACAGACCGGCAUUCGCUGUCUGUGGCCGUGAACAGGUCACUAAACAGGCCACUUCCCUUCAGACCCUUGUUAACAUGAG